CACAUGUAUAAAAUCAGCUGUGCCCUGAGGUGGGGUGCAGAACUUACUCUGAAACAUGCGUGCUGUGUUUUUGUUGUCAACUUCUGUCUGCAAUUGCAUUAAAUAAAGGUUUGAUUGAUUUACUUAAAGAAGAUAUUGCCUGACUGCUGAUUUCACCAAUAAGCCAAAGAUUGACAAGGGAGAAGGAACAUACCACGACAGUCCCAUGGUGUUUAUACUUGCAUACUAUUGUUUGUACAAAUGAACGUGGUACCUUCAGGCAUUUCGAAAUUGCUCCCAAGGAUCAACCAGACUUGUGGAUGUCUACAAUUGUUUUUCUGAAGUCUUGGCAGAUUUCUUUUGAUUUUCCCAUGAUGUCAAGCAAAGAGGCACUGAGUUUGAAGAUUGCUGGAUGAUACGGUACAAUUAAUUGCAUACAAGGUUCAUAGUCUGUGUCUUGAGAUAACACCCAAGGAUGAAAAUGAAAGAGACGGAAUGGAGAUCAGCAUCACAUGGGCAUAGAAUGGAGUGGAUGGACAGUUCUUUCCCCAGUCUUAGGUGGAAGCGGCACAUGAGGAGCAGGGGAUAACCGAUGGCACGGGCGGAAUUCUGGAGAUUGAGUAUACAUCAAGAUACCAGGCGGGGGUGUUGGGACAGCGUUGGUCUGGUCCACACACAGUACUCCUUACAGCACCUGCAGCGGUAAAGAUCGUCACGCCGCUCCUCGGUGGGUGCAUAGUUCUCACGUGAAGUGGGGUCCAGCUGCAUAAUGGGUGUGCUUGAAGACGUCAUGACAGAGGAAGCGGAGCUAAUGAGAGAAAGAAAGACUAGAUUCACUGUAGAUAGACAGAUGGGUUGGGUCUGGGAGCUACUUUAAACACCAUAGUUGGGUUGGGUUAGCUGCUUUAUUGGUUAAUGCAUCAUAUGAAAGGAUCGAUUUUGGGGUAAUUGUACUCUAAACAACAUUUUGGAGGCAUUGAUGUGAAAGUCAAGCCAUGGUUGAAGCCGUUUUAGGUUUGGUAUAUAAAGACCCGGUAUUCUCUGUAUGAUUCAAGCGCUCGGUCCGACAGUCAAGGCUGUUGGGCUGACGGUUUCAUCAUUGCAUAAAGAUGAUUGUUUGAAGAAAUGACCAAGUCUCUCUCAGUACUGAAUUUCCAUGGCAACAGCCAAUAUAUCUCUGUUGCUAGUCAGGAACUUAAUUGGUUCCUCUCGCUGGUGUAGUCAUUGUGUGUGUUAUAGGACUGUUCCAUCUCACUUCAUCUUACCUGACCUCAGGCCGAAUUCCUCGCUCCUCCCAACUCCAAGGCUGUCCUACCUUAUCAGUGACUGAAACCAGACUGUUGCCCUUUGCCUCCCGCCUUAGAAUCCAUGAGAUUUAACAAUAACAUAUUUGACAGAAUGUAAACUUCCUGCCUCCCCCUCUUGUCUCACUCAGUAACUUUCCAUACACUUAGUUCUUAUCCACCCUCCAUUUACCAGCAUAUACAGUACCAGUCAAAAGUUUGGACACCUACUCAUUCCAGGGUUUUUCUUUAUUUUUACUAUUUUCUACAUUGUAGAAUAAUAGUGAAGACUUCAAAACUAUGAAAUAACACAUAUGGAAUCCUGAAGUAACCAAAAAAGUGUUAAAUAUACUGCUCAAAAAAAUAAAGGGAACACUUAAACAACACAUCCUAGAUCUGAAUGAAAGAAAUAAUCUUAUUAAAUACUUUUUUCUUUACAUAGUUGAAUGUGCUGACAACAAAAUCACACAAAAAUAAUCAAUGGAAAUCCAAUUUAUCAACCCAUGGAGGUCUGGAUUUGGAGUCGCACUCAAAAUUAAAGUGGAAAACCACACUACAGGCUGAUCCAACUUUGAUAUAAUGUCCUUAAAACAAGUCAAAAUGAGGCUCAGUAGUGUGUGUGGCCUCCACGUGCCUGUAUGACCUCCCUACAACGCCUGGGCAUGCUCCUGAUGAGGUGGCGGAUGGUCUCCUGGAGGGAUCUCCUCCCAGACCAGGACUAAAGCAUCCGCCAACUCCUGGACAGUCUGUGGUGCAACGUGGCGUUGGUGGAUGGAGUGAGACAUGAUGUCCCAGAUGUGCUCAAUUGGAUUCAGGUCUGGGGAACGGGCGGGCCAGUCCAUAGCAUCAAUGCCUUCCUCUUGCAGGAACUGCUGACACACUCCAGCCACAUGAGGUCUAGCAUUGUCUUGCAUUAGGAGGAACCCAGGGCCAACUGCACCAGCAUAUGGUCUCACAAGGGGUCUGAGGAUCUCAUCUCGCUACCUAAUGGCAGUCAAGCUACCUCUGGCGAGCACAUGGAGUGCUGUGCGGCCCCCCAAAGAAAUGCCACCCCACACCAUGACUGACCCACCGCCAAACCGGUCAUGCUGGAGGAUGUUGCAGGCAGCAGAACGUUCUCCACGGCAUCUCCAGACUCUGUCACGUCUGUCACGUGCUCAGUGUGAACCUGCUUUCAUCUGUGAAGAGCACAGGGCGCCAGUGGCGAAUUUGCCAAUCUUGGUGUUCUCUGGCAAAUGCCAAACGCCCUGCACGGUGUUGGGCUGUAAGCACAACCCCCACAUGUGGACGUCGGGCCCUCAUACCACCC
rnacentral:lncRNA from 1 species